ensembl:lncRNA LINC01580 long intergenic non-protein coding RNA 1580
GUUGCUGGCAGCACCUUCUGCCUGAGUAUUGCUCGUGCCCACUGGGCUUGUUCCGCCCACUUGGCCCGGUAGGCUGUGCUUGGCUCCCGCCACCAGCCCAGAUCCCACACCUGCCCAGGGAGAGCUAGGCGCGGAGCCGCAAGGGGUGUGUGGGUGAACGAGCGCAGGGACCGGCAACAGCCAUACAUACCGGCUGCUGCAGUGGGGCUGGCAGCUCCAGGCGCCAGCACAGUUGUGGCUCUGCGUGAGGCUGGACCAGAUGGACGGCAUGUGGAUUCUGCUGUGGGCACCUGUUUGGAUGAAGGGAACGAAGGUGGUGGCGCCUGGAAGCUUGAAGAUGCCAGGAACCAUAGAACCCCAAAGGGAGUGUCACAGCCCUGGCUCAGGGAGACCCUAGGUCUGGGAUCCUCAAAGGAACACAGCUCUUUUCUCCUUCUCGUCACCCGCAAUGUGGCAAGCAAGGGAGCGUGUUUCAGCCCUGUUUGUGUUAAAGCUCUUUUAGUACCUCCAGGCGGGUCCUGAGUUCUUGUCCUGCGUCCAGGGAGAUGAGGUAUUGCGGACAAAUGGAGGCUUAGCAAGAUGGAGAAGAGCUUUAUUGAGUGGCAGAACAGCUCUCAGUAGACCUGAAGCAGGUAGCUCCUUUCUGCAGGAAGGUUGUCUCUCCUUUCCGCAGGAAGGUUGUCCCAACAAGUUGAGAAGACGCACAGUGGGCAGCUCCUUCCCGCAGCUGGUACUUCCGACUUCGCGUGACUCCGGCUGCGUCCGGGGAGCGGGGUUUUUAUGGGUUCAGAAGGGAGGAAGUGCAUGCUGAUUGGUCCAUGGGUGGCCAUGGGCGGGCCUGGAAAAAGAACCAUUAGUGCUCACUCCAGGCCACAGACUCCGACCGGAACUGACAGCGCGGCCUCCAGGAUUGAAGCCAUCCCUGGCUUGAAGUAGCCUAAGGAGAUUUGCUAGUUUGAGUCCUGGGAGAUGAGAUGGGGAAGAUGGGCCCAAGCUGCAACAUGAAGGUCCAUGAUGAACAGUUGGCAUCUCCUACAGUGCCUGCCACUUGGUAAUGUUCAAUGCAGCCAAGGGAGCUAAGGUAAUGAACAAAACAGAGAAGUUCCUACCCUCCCUGAUGUUCAUUCUAGCAAAUGGAGACAGAUGAUAGAAACUGCACAUCAUUGAGCAAGAGGGACACCAUGGAUAAUGGAAAGAUCUACGGCAAGGCUGGCUGUCUGCCCUGUCUAAGGAGGACGUACUGGACCAUCCUGCUCUGCACAUCCAGAUGUGUCCAUGAAUACAUCCAUAAAACGAUGGCCUGUGGAAUCCUAUAGGAAAAUGAUCCAGAGCCUGGGCGGUCAGAAGGAACAAACACUUGAUUUACAAAAUAAAUCUUCUAUGUUUAUGUUUUAAAGACACACAGAGGAAAAACAUUUUUAAAUUCAUGAUUUCCCCCCCCAGAUUUUAACUAUUGUAAUCUCUUUCUUUCCUGAGCCUUAGGCAUCUUCAUUAUAAACCAAAAGAUAUAACUUGA